rnacentral:rRNA from 1 species
GACGAACGCUGGCGGCGUGCUUAACACAUGCAAGUCGAACGGAAAGGCCCCUUUGGGGGUACUCGAGUGGCGAACGGGUGAGUAACACGUGAGUAACCUGCCCUUGACUUCGGGAUAACUUCAGGAAACUGGGGCUAAUACCGGAUAGGAAUCCUUGCUGCAUGGUGGGGGUUGGAAAGCUUCGGCGGUUUUGGAUGGACUCGCGGCUUAUCAGCUUGUUGGUGGGGUAGUGGCUUACCAAGGCUUUGACGGGUAGCCGGCCUGAGAGGGCGACCGGCCACAUUGGGACUGAGAGACGGCCCAGACUCCUACGGGAGGCAGCAGUGGGGAAUAUUGCACAAGGGGCGGAAGCCUGAUGCAGCAACGCCGCGUGCGGGAUGACGGCCUUCGGGUUGUAAACCGCUUUCAGCAGGGGCGAAGCUUGUGGUGACGGUACCUGCAGAAGAAGCACCGGCUAACUACGUG